rnacentral:tRNA from 1 species
GAGGGUAUAGCUCAGUGGUAGAGUGCAUGCCUAGCAUGCAUGAGGUCCUGAGUUCAAUUCCCAGUACCUCCA